GGCCCCGUAGUUCAAUUGGAUAGAAUGACAGAUUCCGGUUCUGUUGGUUACAGGUUCGAGUCCUGUCGGGGUCA
rnacentral:tRNA from 1 species